UACAGAGGUCCCAAGCGUUGUUCGGAUUCACUGGGCGUAAAGGGUGCGUAGGCGGGUCUUUAAGUCAGGGGUGAAAUCCUGGAGCUCAACUCCAGAACUGCCUUUGAUACUGGCGAGCUUGAGUCCGGGAGAGGUGAGUGGAACUGCGAGUGUAGAGGUGAAAUUCGUAGAUAUUCGCAAGAACACCAGUGGCGAAGGCGGCUCACUGGCCCGGUACUGACGCUGAGACGCGAAAGCGUGGGGAGCGAACAGG
rnacentral:rRNA from 1 species